AUUGAACGCUGGCGGCAUGCCUUACACAUGCAAGUCGAACGGUAACAGGGAGCUUGCUCCGCUGACGAGUGGCGAACGGGUGAGUAAUGUAUCGGAACGUACCUUUUAGUGGGGGAUAACGUAGCGAAAGUUACGCUAAUACCGCAUAUUCUCUGAGGAGGAAAGCAGGGGACCUUCGGGCCUUGCGCUAAUAGAGCGGCUGAUAUCAGAUUAGCUAGUUGGUGAGGUAAAGGCUCACCAAGGCGACGAUCUGUAGCGGGUCUGAGAGGAUGAUCCGCCACACUGGAACUGAGACACGGUCCAGACUCCUACGGGAGGCAGCAGUGGGGAAUUUUGGACAAUGGGGGCAACCCUGAUCCAGCCAUGCCGCGUGAGUGAAGAAGGCCUUCGGGUUGUAAAGCUCUUUCGGCCGGGAAAAAAUCGCAUGGGUUAAUACCCUGUGUGGAUGAUGGUACCGGAAUAAGAAGCACCGGCUAACUACGUGCCAGCCGCCGCCGUAAAAC
rnacentral:rRNA from 1 species